GGGUGAUUGUUCCUGUCUCUGUGUUUGCACAAGAUAGGGCUGGUUUGGGUUUCACGAAUCCCGUAACACUGGGCUUCUGGACUGGAGGAAAAGGGGAGGUCUGUUAAUGGUGAGAUCAGAAAUAUGCAUACCUUCAGGCUGGAAGGGUGGAGAUGGACAGACAGACAGAGCAGACAGAUCCCAUCACCUGCCCAUUGUCACACAGAAGUUAUCAUGAAGGAUUCAGUCAGCCUUGUUUCACCAAGAGGCCUCUCUCAGCCUAGGCUAAUUGGCACUAGACUACUUGCUGUUGAUAUCUGAGGAACAGAGGGCAUCAACUGCUGCAGAAGUUGGAGAUAAAAAUGUAGUGUAAUACAUUUUUCACGUCUGCCAUACUUUAUUUUACACGAUCCUAAUGUAUUUUUUAUUAUACAAGGGAAAACAGAGUUUUGAUCAGUCACUUCAGGGACAAGUUAGCUCUUUGCAUGGUGCCUCUCUCUCUCUCUCUCUCAUUUUCUUUUUCUCUUAUCUCUUUCUGUCACAAACACACGCACACACAAACACACACACAGUUGCUCCUUACAUUUUUUUCUUACCCUGUCACGUUCUUACAAAGUAAUAUACUGGCUGAAAGCAAUCAUAUGUCUUUCAAGCAUCAGGAUAC
ensembl:lncRNA